CUUGUUCCCUAAAUAGAAACUAGUAUGAAUGGCACCACGAGGGCUAUACUGUCUCCUCUCUCCAAUCAGUGAAAUUAAUAUCCCCGUGAAGAAGCGGGGAUGAAAAUAUAAGACGAGAAGACCCUGUGGAGCUUUAAACAAUAUAGAAUCUGUUACACUACACUUAAACCCUCUGCGUCUUUACCUCUCCUGACAGAAUUACUAUGCGUUUUCGGUUGGGGUGACCAUGGAACAUAAUAUAACCUCCAUGUUGAAUUUCUCAAGCUAAGAGCUACUCUUCUAAGCAUCUUCACAAUGACAUCCAUUGACCCAAUAUAUUUGAACAACGAACCAAGUUACCCCAGGGAUAACAGCGCAAUCCACUUCAAAAGCUCCUAUCGACAAGUGGGUUUACGACCUCGAUGUUGGAUCAGGGCUUCCCAGUGGCGCAGCCGCUACUAAAGGUUCGUUUGUUCAACGAUUAAAACCCU
rnacentral:rRNA from 1 species